AAUAAAUGCAGUUUUGCACUAUUCACGUUCAACGUUUGACCGUUCGUCUUAUUUGAAAUUUUUUUUAUGAUUAGUAUUUUUAUUGCUAUUAGAUGAUAAAACAUAAAUAGUACUUUAUGUGUGACUAAAUAUUUUCAAAUUUUUCAAAUAAGACGGACGGUCAAAUGUUUGGCACGGAUAUCCACGGCUGCACUUAUU
rnacentral:pre_miRNA from 1 species